CGCUUAUCUCCUUCGCUCUGCUCGGUUCCUCCAGCGCCGCUCGGCCCUUGCUUCCCUCCCUCCUCAAGCACGCCACGCUCUGCUCGCCCAAACUGCACGCCGUGGCUCCCUCCCCCAAGCUCCCUUCCAUGGCGUCCUCCUUGCGCGCGCGAAGCCCCUGCGCUCGCCGGCGUUCCUCCCUGGCCCUCCCUGCCGCGCGCCCAGCCGCUCCUCCCUCCUCUGCGCGCUCUGCUUCUUUGUGCGCGCGGGCUCGCCGUCUCCAGCUCCUCGCCAUGGACGCACGCAGAUCCUUCAAGGUUUCCCCCAUGGCGCGCCCCCAGCCUCUGCUCCUCGGUUCUCCUUUCCUGUGCGCCAUCACAUCUCCCCUCAUCCAUGGUAGCUCCCUCACGGCGCUCCCUCUGCUCUCUCCCAUGGCGCCUCCCCUUGCUAGGAUUCCAGCGCCCGGAUCUUCUCUCUCCCAUGGCGCUCGGUCCUGCUCGACGCCCUGUCUCUCUCCCUCCGCUCACGCCCGCUUCCUGGCCGCGGUUUCUCCCUUCCCCGAAGCUCCCUCCUCCAGCCGCAAGCUCCCCCUGCUCGGCCUUCGUCCCCAUGGCGGCUUCCCCUCCUCGAGCUCUCUCGCCGUGGAUUCUCCCUGCGUGGACACCAGCCGAGCCCCCUGCGUCGCGCCUUGUUCCCCGCGCGCGCUCCAGCUGCUCUACUCCGGCUCGCGGAGCUCCCUUCCCUGCAUCCAUGGCAGCCAUCGCUGUUGAGUUCCCUGGCCGUCGCGCUCCCUGGUGGGUGAGCUGGCCGAGCUCCCUCUCCCGUAGUGCAUUGGCCUCCAUCCGAGCUCACCCUGGUCUGAUAGAGGUCCCUGCGAGCUCCACCAGUCUGACCCAAGCCGUCAUGUGCCUCUGGUCACUGCUCUUUGCCUUCGACUCCAUGGCUGUGGUGCUCAUUUCCCUCGCCGUGGAGCUCCUACGCGCACACCUCUGCUCGGCCUCUGCUCGAUGCCCAGUGCGCCGUUUCUGCUCCCUCGCCAUGGUCACCCAGCCCAGCCAUGCCUGUUCCCUCCCUGUGCUUGCCCCAGCCCCUGCUUUUCCCCUGGUCGCCCAUGGCACCGAUCUGUCCGCCCUGCCGUCGCUCAGCUCGUGCGUGCCCUGUGUAUUUUCCCUGCUCGGCGUACUCCCUCGCUGGUGGUCGAGCAGCUCACUCAUGGUGCCCAGCUCGUACUCCCUCGCCGGUGGUCGAGCAGCUCACUCAUGGUGCCCAGUUCGCGUCCACCUCCUCUGUUAUUGACACCAUGCGCUCGGCUUCUCUAGCGCCGAUCCACGCUCGUCCAUGUCGCCAUCGUCGUGUCGUCGCUGGUGAUAGCUUCUCGUGCCGUCGAGCCCGUCGUUUUCCCUGUCCAGUGCUCGCGCGGUUUCCUGCUCGCCAGCACGCCCUCUCGGCUCGCUCGGCCUUAAUCCCCAUCGCGUCAUUGACCUCGCCGUCGUCUUGGUCGUCGAUGCCACGCAACCAUCCACGUGUUGUAGUCCUCACGGACACCGCUUCACACCAUCACCCUGUUUUCAUCAUCCGUAGCGUCGUCGUCGGGAUGUCCUAGCUGCAACACCAGCGCCCUCGACCGUGCCCAAAGCUCUAUAUUGGAUUUAUCAGCGUGCUACUCGUCCGCUGGCUCCUCGCCGUCGACUCUCGGCACCACAAGCUCAUUUUCCCUUAUGCACAUCUCCUCAGACCCUGUUUUAUCACGCGUAUGCAUUAUCGAUCUCAUCAUCGUUUCGUGCAUCCUCAAGAAAUACAAAGCGUCGGGUGAAGACAAAGCUAGCAGCGUGAUAUUCACCAAGUGCUCGACAAAAAGCUCGAACAAGUUGUCGAUCGUCAUCCUCGUCUACGCCAAGAUCCGAGAAGAUUAGGCGCAGAAGAAAAUAAAUCAGUAUGUGGCCGGAGAAUACUCGAUGCGGAUAAAGAUGAAGUGUGAUUCGACGCAGCACUCACCCUAUUUCCGGUGAAAUGCUGAGCUGAAAGGCGUCGUCGAUUUCGUGGUUUCAAGUUGGAUUUAAUUGA
rnacentral:misc_RNA from 1 species